rnacentral:rRNA from 1 species
AAGAGUUUGAUCUUGGCUCAGGAUUAACGCUGGUGGCGUGCUUUAUGCAUGCAAGUCGAACGGUCUUGAGCAAUCAAGACAGUGGCAGAUGGGUGAGUAACGCGUAAGUGACUUGUCCCUAAGUGGGGAAUAGCUCGGAGAAAUCUGAGGUAAUACCGCAUGUGGUGAUGGAGGUGAUGCUUCAUCACUAAAGCCGCAAGGCGCUUGGGGAGGGGCUUGCGUCCGAUUAGCUAGUUGGUAAGGUAAUAGCCUACCAAGGCGACAAUCGGUAGCUGGUCUGAGAGGACGAUCAGCCACACUGGGACUGAGACACGGCCCAGACUCUUACGGGAGGCAGCAGCAAGGAAUAUUGCGCAACGGGCGAAAGCCUGGCGCAGCGACGCCACGUGAGGGAUGAAGGCCUUCGGGUUGUAAACCUCUUUUCUCAGGGAAGAACUCUGACGGUACCUGAGGAAUAAGUCUCGGCUAACUACGUGCCAGCAGCCGCGGUAAGACGUAGGAGGCAAGCGUUAUCCGGAUUUAUUGGGCGUAAGGAGCGUGUAGGCGGCUCCUCAAGUCGAAUGUAAAAUCUCCCGGCUUAACUGGGAGGGAUCAUUCGAUACUGUUGAGCUAGAGUGCAGUAGAGGGAAGCGGAAUUCCCGGUGUAGUGGUGAAAUGCAUAGAUAUCGGGAGGAACACCAGUGGCGAAGGCGGCUUCCUAGGCUGCAACUGACGCUGAGGCGCGAAAGCGUGGGGAGCGAACAGGAUUAGAUACCCUGGUAGUCCACGCCCUAAACUAUGGACACUAGGUAUGGGGAGUAUCGACCCUUCCUGUGCCGAAGCUAACGCAUUAAGUGUCCCGCCUGGGGAGUACGGUCGCAAGGCUAAAACUCAAAGGAAUUGACGGGGGCCCGCACAAGCAGCGGAGCGUGUGGUUUAAUUCGAUGCAACACGAAGAACCUCACCAAGGUUUGACAUGACGGAAGUAGUGAACCGAAAGGGGAACAACCUGUUAAGUCAGGAGCCGUCACAGGUGCUGCAUGGCUGUCGUCAGUUCGUGCCGUGAGGUGUUAGGUUAAGUCCUGCAACGAACGCAACCCUUGUCGCCAGUUAAUUUCUUUGGCGAGACUGCCCCGUAAAACGGGGAGGAAGGUAGGGAUGACGUCAAGUCAGCAUGGCCCUUAUACCUUGGGCGACACACACGCUACAAUGGGUGGUACAAUGGGUUGCAAUGGAGCGAUCCGGAGCCAAUCCUAAAAACCAUCCCCAGUACAGAUUGCAGGCUGAAACUCGCCUGCAUGAAGUCGGAGUUGCUAGUAACCGCAGGUCAGCAUACUGUGGUGAAUACGUUCUCGGGCCUUGCACACACCGCCCGU